UACGUAGGGUGCAAGCGUUAAUCGGAAUUACUGGGCGUAAAGCGUGCGCAGGCGGUUGUGUAAGACAGAUGUGAAAUCCCCGGGCUUAACCUGGGAACUGCAUUUGUGACUGCACAGCUGGAGUGCGGCAGAGGGGGAUGGAAUUCCGCGUGUAGCAGUGAAAUGCGUAGAGAUGUGGAGGAACACCGAUGGCGAAGGCAGCCCCCUGGGCCGACACUGACGCUCAGGCACGAAAGCGUGGGGAGCAAACAGG
rnacentral:rRNA from 1 species